UCCGGUUUGUCACCGGCAGUCUCCUUAGAGUUCCCAGCAUAACCUGAUGGCAACUAAGGACAAGGGUUGCGCUCGUUACGGGACUUAACCCAACAUCUCACGACACGAGCUGACGACAGCCAUGCAGCACCUGUCACUGAGCUCCCGAAGGCACCAAUCUAUCUCUAGAAAGUUCUCAGGAUGUCAAGGCCAGGUAAGGUGGGGAUGACGUAGUACACCUGAAC
rnacentral:misc_RNA from 1 species